UUUCAUGUUAUACAACUUUUCACCAAUACUCGACUAAAAAAAAAGAUGAUCAUCUUAUUAGUAUUGUCGCUAUGUCAUGUUUAACGUUAUCGUAAUAUUAUUAAAUUCAUGAUGAAAAAUCGUACUUUGAUUAAAUUAUGUCCGUACUAAACAAAAUUAGUGGCGCCGGCCUGCUUGUUGGGCCAAGUCUUUUAAUCAUAGUCAAUAAAUUGAAAAAUAACAAAAUAAUAAAUUCAGUUUUCAGAUCUGACACUCCGCUGCUGUUCAAGAACUAAGAAUCAUUUGAAACAGGUCGAUCUCUAUCUUCUGGACGGUUUUGCUUCGAUUUCGAUUAAAAUGCACACUGCUAAGUAAUUCGAUAUAAACCAACAAUUUAAACAUCAAACCAUAAAAUGAAUAAUGUAACGAUAAAUAAAAUACAAAAGUAUGUAUGUCACAUGGCUAAGCUAUAAAAUAAACUAAUCAAUACAUAAUUCUCAAUCUAGACUCACCAUCAAUUCCCAACCCCGCACCCCGCCCCCCCAACUCACACCCCAUAUAAAAAAUAAAAAUAAAAAUAAAAAAAAGGAGGAAAGAAAGAAAGAAAAAAAGGAAAGAAAGAAAGAAAAACACCUCACAUAUAAAUCCUAGUUCAUAUGGAAUAGUCAAUGAAUCACCAAGAAUCUAAAAACCAUCAUGUAUGAAUACUCCCCCCCCCCCCCCCCCCCCCCCCCCCCCCCCCCCAAAAAAAAAAAAAAAAAAGAGGAAAGAAAGAAAGAAAGAAAAACACCUCACAUAUAAAUCCUAGUUCAUAUGGUAUAGUCAAUGAAUCACCAAGAAUCUAAAAACCAUCAUGUAUGAAUAAUCGAUCUAGUUUUUGAUGAGGGCCAAGAGAGACAGAACCAAUGAAGAACCCACGACAGCAGCAGAAACUGGCAAGGAGUAUCCUGCACCGUUGACAGGCGACGGCGCCGGAGCCAUUCCGAACUCAUCCUGAGCCAUUGUAGCAGACAGAAUAGCCAUGACGGCCACAAGCAUAAACACAGCUCUCAUCAGUGCCAUAGCAAUUGAUUUGUAUUUAAAAAACAGUUGCAGCCUUAAGUGGUAAGGAAAGAUGGGAAGACGAAUACCAGAAACAAGAAAUGAAGAGGAAAGUCUGCGUUUCAGUGUGUGUGUUCUGUUGGGGUUUGAGGGGGUUUAAAUAUAGGCAGAGGAGAAGGCAUGGCGUGUGGGCC
rnacentral:lncRNA from 1 species